rnacentral:lncRNA from 1 species
GAUCUUAUGUUUUUGUCUGUUCUAUUUUUUUUCCCCUCUUUCCGUUGGUACUUAAUUUAUUUUAUUUUUUAAAAGAAUAAUCACUAUACCUAUUACUUUGCUCUCAGAUCCAAGUCAACACAAACACAUUUAACCCUCAAGCCAAGUUCUAUUUCCUCUUGGCCCAAGAGAUUUUGAACAAGUUAUGCUAUUAUGCAGUUCCAUAUUACUCAUGGCUCACAACAACAUAGCCUAAAUUAAAAAUUAUCAGCAGCCUUGGCAGCAUCUCCGACCNNNNNNNNNNNNNNNNNNAAAAAAAGGGGUUUCUCCAGAAUUGUUCAGUUGCAGCAUCUCUUGCUCCUUAUCCGAUUGCUCGACGCGCAUAUCCUGGUUGUUCAUUGCUUGUCCUCUUCCUGGCUCUGCCACCCUCGUCAAUUGCCCAUCUGCCUUGCUCCUCCUUGUCCUCAUUUCUAGUCUCUCAUUUAGAUGCCAUUGCUUUGUUGCUAAUUAUUGACAAUUGUCUAUGUUUUUGUGGCUGACACAUAUAUGCAUGCAAAUAUUUCUUUUCUUGAAUUUCUUCCCUUUUUGCAUUUUUAUUCUGUAUUCUGCGAUUUGUUUUUCUUACUACUUCAUUUAUUUGGGAGGGGGUUAUAAUUUUUAGUGACUGAAAAUUUGUUACAUUGACAUUUAAGUUGCAUCUUGUUUAAGUAGUAAUAGUAUGUGGAUAGUGAAAGUUUAAUUUAGUCAACAGUUCCCUUAGCGUUUGGUCCUUUUGGAGAAUGUUCCACAACCUUUUGGAAGCAAUAAUCUCCUUCUAUGUGUGGUUUUGUGGAACAUGAUUAAUGCUGUAAUAUUGUGCACAUGCCGCAUGCGCAUAAAUAUGUGAGAUUGUGUUGUAUGAAAGUUCUGUUCUUACGUUUUUAUCUGUUCUAUUUCUUUUUUUCCCCUCUUUCUAGUGGUACUUAAUUUAUUUUAUUUUUUAAAAGAAUAAUCACUAUACUUAUUACUUUGCUCUCAGAUCCAAGUCAGCACAAACACAUUUAACCCUCAAGCCAAGUUCUAUUUCCUCUCAGCCCAAGAGAUUUUGAACAAGUUAUGCUAUUAUGCAGUUAUCCUGGUUGUUCAUUGCUUGUCCUCUUCCUGGCUGUGCCACCCUCGUCAAUUGCCCAUCCUCCUUGCUCCUCCUUGUCCUCAUUUCUAAUCUGUCAUUUAGAUGCCAUUGCCUUGUUGCUAAUUAUUGACAAUUGUCUAUGUUUUUGUGGCUGACACAUAUAUACAUGCAAAUAUUUCUUUUAUUGAAUUUCUUCCCCUUUUGCAUUUUUUAUUCUGUAUUUUGUGUUUUGUUUUUCUUAGUACUUCAUUUAUUUGGGAGGGGGUUAUAAUUUUUAGUGACUGAAAAUUUGUUACAUUGACAUUUAAGUUGCAUCUUGUUUUUAAGUAGUAAUAGUAUGUGGAUAAUGAAAGUUUAAUUUAGCCAACAGUUCCCUUAGCGUUUGGUCCUUUUGGAGAAUGUUCCACAACCUUUUGGAAGCAAUAAUCUCCUUUUAUGUGUGGUUUUGUGGAACAUGAUUAAUGCUGUAGUAUUGUGCACAUGCCGCAUGCACAUAAAUAUGUGAGAUUGUGAUGUAUGAAAAUUUUCUGUUCUAUUUCUUUUUUCCCCUCUUUCCAGUGGUACUUAAUUUAUUUUGUUUUUUAAAAGAAUAAUCACUAUACCUAUUACUUUGCUCUCAGAUCCAAGUCAACACAAACACAUUUAACCCUCAAGCCAAGUUCUAUUUCCUCUUUCCCCAAGAGAUUUUGAACAAGUUAUGCUAUUAUGCAAUUAUCCUGGUUGUUCAUUGCUUUUCCUCUUUCUGGCUGUGCCACCCUCGUCAAUUGCCCAUCCUCCUUGCUCCUCCUUGUCCUCAUUUCUAGUCUCUCAUUUGGAUGCCAUUGCUUUGUUGCUCAUUUAUUCCCUCUGGCAUUACAUGCCCAAGAGAAUCCAAAAUGAACUUUUCAGUUUCCAGGAUUCAAAUGGUCCAAAAAUUCCUUAAGGUUUCUACUGUUUAUUGCACCUAUAUUGAAGGAUGCCCAGAUUCAUAGAUCAUCAAAUAUCGAUAGUUUCAUAUUUAUAUAAUUUCCUCUGUUAAUUUCUUCUGAUUUUGCUAAUUCUGGUUUUCUUUGCUGGGAUUGUGAUUGCUUUUUUGCUGGGCAGAAGUGUGUAGUCUUGGUUUAUAUAAACUGACAAGCUGAAUGAUUUGGUUCUUCUACCAUUUUGAUUUGGUUCAGUUUCCAUUUUAUAGGCUUUCAGUUUUCGAAAAACUUGACUGAUUGGACACUCCUGAAUCUAAGUAGGGAGAAACUUUUGCAUGUUAGAUAAGAUUUUAAGGUCCAAUAUGGUAUGCACAAGAAUGGAUAAGAAACAAGCUUUUGGUGUUGCUAAAAUUAUUCGAUUAAAGUAUCUUUUACAUUAUUCUAUUUCUGUGUUAAAUGUAGGUGCUGAUGUGACUUCGGAAUUUUGGAUGUAUUUAGACUAGCAUGCAUCUUUCUUUUUUCUAAUGCCUUUUAUUUAUAGUUAAAGGGGGUUUGAACGGCUCAAAUUACAUGCAAUGCAACCUUUUAGUUUUUAGAGUAUGACAAUUUUUGUUUUACUACAAACUAACUGCUUUCUUUAAUUCUUAAUUUUUGUGUAAUCUAUUGCUUGUUCAAUAAUUUUUUUCUGGUGGCAUGUUUGAUCAAUAAUUCUUUCUCUUCAUAGCAUUGGGAAGUUCUAUUUUGAG